rnacentral:rRNA from 2 species
AGAGUUUGAUCAUGGCUCAGAUUGAACGCUGGCGGCAGGCCUAACACAUGCAAGUCGAGCGGUAGCACAGAGAGCUUGCUCUCGGGUGACGAGCGGCGGACGGGUGAGUAAUGUCUGGGAAACUGCCUGAUGGAGGGGGAUAACUACUGGAAACGGUAGCUAAUACCGCAUAAUGUCGCAAGACCAAAGUGGGGGACCUUCGGGCCUCAUGCCAUCAGAUGUGCCCAGAUGGGAUUAGCUAGUAGGUGGGGUAACGGCUCACCUAGGCGACGAUCCCUAGCUGGUCUGAGAGGAUGACCAGCCACACUGGAACUGAGACACGGUCCAGACUCCUACGGGAGGCAGCAGUGGGGAAUAUUGCACAAUGGGCGCAAGCCUGAUGCAGCCAUGCCGCGUGUGUGAAGAAGGCCUUCGGGUUGUAAAGCACUUUCAGCGGGGAGGAAGGCGAUAAGGUUAAUAACCUUGUCGAUUGACGUUACCCGCAGAAGAAGCACCGGCUAACUCCGUGCCAGCAGCCGCGGUAAUACGGAGGGUGCAAGCGUUAAUCGGAAUUACUGGGCGUAAAGCGCACGCAGGCGGUCUGUCAAGUCGGAUGUGAAAUCCCCGGGCUCAACCUGGGAACUGCAUUCGAAACUGGCAGGCUAGAGUCUUGUAGAGGGGGGUAGAAUUCCAGGUGUAGCGGUGAAAUGCGUAGAGAUCUGGAGGAAUACCGGUGGCGAAGGCGGCCCCCUGGACAAAGACUGACGCUCAGGUGCGAAAGCGUGGGGAGCAAACAGGAUUAGAUACCCUGGUAGUCCACGCCGUAAACGAUGUCGAUUUGGAGGUUGUGCCCUUGAGGCGUGGCUUCCGGAGCUAACGCGUUAAAUCGACCGCCUGGGGAGUACGGCCGCAAGGUUAAAACUCAAAUGAAUUGACGGGGGCCCGCACAAGCGGUGGAGCAUGUGGUUUAAUUCGAUGCAACGCGAAGAACCUUACCUGGUCUUGACAUCCACAGAACUUUCCAGAGAUGGAUUGGUGCCUUCGGGAACUGUGAGACAGGUGCUGCAUGGCUGUCGUCAGCUCGUGUUGUGAAAUGUUGGGUUAAGUCCCGCAACGAGCGCAACCCUUAUCCUUUGUUGCCAGCGGUCCGGCCGGGAACUCAAAGGAGACUGCCAGUGAUAAACUGGAGGAAGGUGGGGAUGACGUCAAGUCAUCAUGGCCCUUACGACCAGGGCUACACACGUGCUACAAUGGCAUAUACAAAGAGAAGCGACCUCGCGAGAGCAAGCGGACCUCAUAAAGUAUGUCGUAGUCCGGAUUGGAGUCUGCAACUCGACUCCAUGAAGUCGGAAUCGCUAGUAAUCGUAGAUCAGAAUGCUACGGUGAAUACGUUCCCGGGCCUUGUACACACCGCCCGUCACACCAUGGGAGUGGGUUGCAAAAGAAGUAGGUAGCUUAACCUUCGGGAGGGCGCUUACCACUUUGUGAUUCAUGACUGGGGUGAAGUCGUAACAAGGUAACCGUAGGGGAACCUGCGGUUG